rnacentral:rRNA from 1 species
AAAUUGAAGAGUUUGAUCAUGGCUCAGAUUGAACGCUGGCGGCAGGCCUAACACAUGCAAGUCGAGCGGAAACGAGUUAUCUGAACCUUCGGGGGACGAUAACGGCGUCGAGCGGCGGACGGGUGAGUAAUGCCUAGGAAAUUGCCCUGAUGUGGGGGAUAACCAUUGGAAACGAUGGCUAAUACCGCAUGAUGCCUACGGGCCAAAGAGGGGGACCUUCGGGCCUCUCGCGUCAGGAUAUGCCUAGGUGGGAUUAGCUAGUUGGUGAGGUAAGGGCUCACCAAGGCGACGAUCCCUAGCUGGUCUGAGAGGAUGAUCAGCCACACUGGAACUGAGACACGGUCCAGACUCCUACGGGAGGCAGCAGUGGGGAAUAUUGCACAAUGGGCGCAAGCCUGAUGCAGCCAUGCCGCGUGUGUGAAGAAGGCCUUCGGGUUGUAAAGCACUUUCAGUCGUGAGGAAGGUAGUGUAGUUAAUAGCACUA